rnacentral:rRNA from 1 species
CUGCGGAAGGAUCAUUACCGAGUGCGGGCCCCUCGGGGCCCAACCUCCCACCCGAUGUUGCCCGAACCUAUGUUGCCUCGGCGGGCCCCGCGCCCGCCGACGGCCCCCCUGAACGCUGUCUGAAGUUGCAGUCUGAGACCUAUAACGAAAUUAGUUAAAACUUUCAACAACGGAUCUCUUGGUUCCGGCAUCGAUGAAGAACGCAGNGAAAUGCGAUAACUAAUGUGAAUUGCAGAAUUCAGUGAAUCAUCGAGUCUUUGAACGCACAUUGCGCCCUCUGGUAUUCCGGAGGGCAUGCCUGUCCGAGCGUCAUUGCUGCCCUCAAGCCCGGCUUGUGUGUUGGGCCCCGUCCCCCUCCGCCGGGGGGACGGGCCCGAAAGGCAUGCGGCGGCAUCCGCGUCCGGUCCUCGAGCGUAUGGGGCUUCGUCACCCGCUCUAGUAGGCCCGGCCGGCGCCAGCCGACCCCCAACCUUUAAUUAUCUCAGGUUGACCUCGGAUCAGGUAG